UACGGAGAGGGCGAGUGUUAUUCAUAGUGAUUGGGCGUAAAGGGCGCGUAGACGGCUGCUUAAACUUUUGAUUAAAAAUCCCAUGGCGAAAACCGUGGACAACAAAAAGAAUUGUGCGGCUAAGAAUUUAUUAGAAGUUAACAGUACUUUCAGAGUAAAGGUAAUAAUUAUUGAUCCUGAGAGGACUCCCAAUAGCGAAGGCAGUUAACUAUAGUUGAUUGACGUUGAGGCGCGGAGGCAUGGGGAUCGAACAGG
rnacentral:rRNA from 1 species